rnacentral:lncRNA from 1 species
UGUCACCUCAAUGCCACCCCGUGUCACCCCAAUGACACCCGCAGCCACGGUGCGACUGUCACCCCAUGUCACCCCGUGUCACCUUGUGUCAGCCCAUGUCACCCUAUGUCACCCCAAUGAUACCCGCAGCCACGGUGCGACUGUCACCCGUGUCACCCCGUGUCACCCUGUGUCACGCCAUGUCACCUUGUGUCAGCCCAUGCCACCUUGAGUCACCCCAAUGACACCCGCAGCCACCGUGCGAC